CAGGACCCCGUCCUCACCACUGACCCACAACACACAACCUGUGCCAGUGUCCUUCCAUGACACCAUCCAGGCAUUUAUGAUGUAAUGAGAGGCCUGCCUGGCUCCCAUCGGAUAUGAAGGUGAAGGUGAUAAAUGCUUAUACUCUCAUGAUGGUGUGUGUGUGUGUGUGUGUGUGUGUGUGUGAACUCUGGGUCCACAUCACUACCAUGUCAUGGUGGGAAACUCUCUCACUCCCCAGACAUUUUAACAUUUUUGCAGAACAUCUCUUUUCUAUUGUGUGGAUUGGAGAUUCAUCUAUGCCGUGAUGGUGCAAGACACCAUGUUAGCAUGGGGUCUUGUGAUCCACAGUGAGUGUCAUUAGGACUCAUGAAAAUGUUCAGAUGAUGUGAAUGGAGUUAUUUGUAAUUGAUGAAUAUUUCUGGUCAGGAAAUGUUAAGUACAAGUAAGUGCAAGCACUAUAGUUGAAUUCUAAGUCUGUAAGAAAGAGGCUGAAUAGGUAAACACACAAUCAAGUGUCCAGAGAGACUCCCUGGGGGAAACUACUCCAUGGAGAGGAAGCCCAGACCCUGACAGGAAACCUGCCCAGAACCUCCCUCUGCACCUGCUCAUGGGCCUUCAAGAUAGAAGUGGUGAGUAGUGUGCACCCCCUGGUGGUCCUGAUCCCCUUCUACAGGGAUGUUUGUGUCUGGGCUCACACAGAGGUCCCUUCACUGUUUCUGCACAGUAAUACACAGCCAUGUCCUCAGCUCUCAGGCUGUUCAUCUGAAGAUACAGCAUGUUCUUGGCGUUGUCUCUGGAGAUGGUGAAUCGGCCCUUCACAACGUCUUUGUAACCCUUGCUACUUCCAUCAUAGCUAAUGUAUGCGACACACUGCAACCCUUUCCUAGAGCCUAAUGGACCCAGCUCAUGUCAUAGUUACUGAAGGUGAAUCCAGAGGCCACACAGGAGAGUCUCAGGGACCCUCCAGGCUUCACCAAAUCUUCCCCAGACUCCACCAGCUGUACCUCUCCCUGGACACCUGCAGACACAAGACAUCCUGGUCAAACAACUGUCCCACAUCCCCAGUUUCUCUCACUCACUUCCACUCACAGACUCAAGGUCUCUGGUUCUCUAUGAAUUACCUUUUAAAAUAGCAACAAGGGAAUCCCAGCCGAGCACACACUCCAUGGUGGUUUGUCUCUGUUGUGUCCUGAUCAGUGAAUCAGGUCACCUUGGGAUCCUGGGGCUGGGGCUUCUCUCCCAGCUGCAGGGUCAGGACUGGGCCGGUUUAAUCAGUGGAGGGAGGUCCCUAUUUGCAUGUCCUCUGACUAUAUAACCAGCUCCAGACUUACAU
rnacentral:lncRNA from 1 species